rnacentral:rRNA from 1 species
GACGAACGCUGGCUGCGUGCUUAACACAUGCAAGUCGAACGCUGAAACCCUGGUGCCUGCACCGGGGUGGAUGAGUGGCGAACGGGUGGGUAACACGUGAGUAACCUGCCCCCGACUUCGGGAUAAGCCCGGGAGACUGGGUCUAAUACCGGAUAUGAGCGCCCCUCGCAUGAGGGAUGCUGGAAAGUCUUUUCGGUUGGGGAUGGGCUCGCGGCCUAUCAGUUUGUUGGGGAGGUAAUGGCUCACAAAGACGACGACGGGUAGCCGGCCUGAGAGGGCGACCGGCCACACUGGGACUGAGACACGGCCCAGACUCCUACGGGAGGCAGCAGUGGGGAAUAUUGCACAAUGGGGGAAACCCUGAUGCAGCGACGCAGCGUGCGGGAUGACGGCCUUCGGGUUGUAAACCGCUUUCAGCAGGGAAGAAGCCCCUUGGGGUGACGGUACCUGCAGAAGAAGUACCGGCUAACUACGUGCCAGCAGCCGCCGUAA